rnacentral:rRNA from 1 species
UACGUAGGGUGCAAGCGUUGCCCGGAUUUAUUGGGCGUAAAGGGCGCGUAGGCGGCUCUGCACGUUCGUUAUGAAAUCGCCCGGCUCAACUGGGCGGGGUCAGCGGAUACGGCAGAGCUUGAGCAAGCUAGGGGGCAAUGGAAUUCCCGGUGUAGUGGUGGAAUGCGUAGAUAUCGGGAAGAACACCAGUGGCGAAGGCGGUUGCCUGGAGCUUUGCUGACGCUGAUGCGCGAAAGCGUGGGGAGCGAUCCGG